UUGCACGCUGGCGGCAUGCCUUACCCCUGCCAGUCGAACGGCAGCACGGGUGCUUGCACCUGGUGGCGAGUGGCGAACGGGUGAGUAAUACAUCGGAACAUGUCCUGUAGUGGGGGAUAGCCCGGCGAAAGCCGGAUUAAUACCGCAUACGAUCUACGGAUGAAAGCGGGGGACCUUCGGGCCUCGCGCUAUAGGGUUGGCCGAUGGCUGAUUAGCUAGUUGGUGGGGUAAAGGCCUACCAAGGCGACGAUCAGUAGCUGGUCUGAGAGGACGACCAGCCACACUGGGACUGAGACACGGCCCAGACUCCUACGGGAGGCAGCAGUGGGGAAUUUUGGACAAUGGGCGAAAGCCUGAUCCAGCAAUGCCGCGUGUGUGAAGAAGGCCUUCGGGUUGUAAAGCACUUUUGUCCGGAAAGAAAUCCUUGGCCCUAAUACGGUCGGGGGGAUGACGGUACCGGAAGAAUAAGCACCGGCUAACUACGUG
rnacentral:rRNA from 1 species